rnacentral:piRNA from 1 species
UCCAAGCUUUGGAUCCUGGUGUCUGGGAGA